ACGCGGAGGGAAGGAGCUCCGAGUGGCCGCCGAGAGGCCGCGGAGCCAGCGACGACCGACCCAGCUGAGCCGCCGCCGCCGCGCCCCCAUGGCGGCCGCCAAGGACACUCAUGAGGACCAUGAUACUUCCACUGAGAAUGCAGAUAAGUCCAACCAUGAUCCUCAGUUUGAGCCAACAGUUUCUCUUCCUGAGCAAGAAAUUAAAACGCUGGAAGAAGAUGAAGAGGAACUUUUUAAAAUGCGGGCGAAACUGCUCCGUUUUGCCUCCGAGAACUACCUCCCAGAAUGGAAGGAGCGAGGCACCGGCGAUGUCAAGCUCCUGAAGCACAAGGAGAAGGGGACCAUCCGCCUCCUCAUGCGGCGGGACAAGACCCUGAAGAUCUGUGCCAAGCACUAUAUCACGCCGAUGGUGGAGCUGAAGCCCAACGCGGUAGCGACCGUGCCCGGGUCUGGAACACCCAUGCUGACUUCGCCGAUGAGUGCCCCAAGCCAGAGUUGCUGGCCACCCGCUUCCUGAAUGCUGAGAAUGCACAGAAAUUCGAAACAAAGUUUGAAGAAUGCAGGAAAGAGAUCGAAGAGAGAGAAAAGAAAGGAUCAGGCAAAAAUGAUCAUGCUGGAAAAGUGGCGGAAAAGCGGCGGAAAAGCUAGAAACUCUCUCGGUGAAGGAGACCAAGGAGGAUGCGGAGGAGAAGCAAUAAAUCGUCUUAUUUUAUUUCCUUUUCCUCUUUCCUUUCCUUUUUUUU